rnacentral:rRNA from 1 species
GUCUUUUUGAUUAUAAUUUAAAGUCUAACCUGCCCAAUGAGGAGUUGAAUGGCCGCGGUAUUUUGACCGUGCAAAGGUAGCAUAAUCAUUAGUUUUUUAAUUGAAAGCUGGAAUGAAUGGUUGGACGAGAGAACUACUGUCUCAGUUUAAAUUUAAUUAGAACUUUAUUUUUAAGUAAAAAAGCUUAAAUGAAUUUAAAAGACGAGAAGACCCUAUAGAGUUUUAUAUAUUGAUAUAUAUAUAAAUAUAGGUAUCAUUUGUAGGUGUAUAUAUAUAUGUGUAUUUUGUUGGGGUGACAGAAAAAUUAAAGGAACUUUUUUUAUAUGUUAACAUUGAUUUAUGGUUGAAUGAUCCGUAGUUUACGAUUAAAAGAUUAAAUUACCUUAGGGAUAACAGCGUAAUUCUUUUUGAGAGUUCUAAUCGAAAAGAGAGUUUGCGACCUCGAUGUUGGAUUAAAAUUAAUUCUUGGUGUAGAUGCUAGGAAAUUAGGUCUGUUCGACCUUUGAAAUUUUACAUGAUCUGAGU